rnacentral:tmRNA from 1 species
UCGGCGGAGCUCGUCCGGAGGCGCCGUCGCGGCGAGAUCAAAAUCUGGGCUACACACGUAGAGGUCUUGUGGGACGCGUCUUCGGACCCGGGUUCGAUUCCCGGCGCCUCCACCA